GUGCUCUAUCUACUGCGACACCUAUCUACUGCGACACCUAGCUGUCCCACAUGAUUCUUUUCUUAAGGCAGCAUUAUACAUGAGUAGGAAUUCUGGCCCUGCCAACCCCAUGUCACUUCGUCAGAUAGAGGACCAGAACUACAUCCACUGAACCACUUAGGUGUACUGAAGAAAGGUUGCUUUAGGAUUCUACAAAGAGCCCAGCAGAAAACUACACCCUGCCUAAGGGAAACUUUAUGAGUACUUCCUGAGAGGGAGAAAAGGACUUCCAGCAAUCAGGCUCUGUGAGUUCCACUGCUUGAUGAUGACCCUUCAGUUGGCAGACACUUAACUUCCCAGAAGCACAGACUCUCAGACUUGACUGAUUUUUUCUGAGUCAGUGCCAGCAAUAAGCACCCUGUGACGCAGGCCUCACUUUCCUGAUCUCCAGAAUGAGAGAAUGGGUGUCCCUUCAAGCUCUAAAUUCAUGAUUCUAUGAUGAUGGAAAAUUACUGCCACAUAACGACCCCAAACAGAUAAAAACAGCUAAAGAGGAAAUGAGCUCGCAGAGAUAUCGGCUUGAAAUACUGCCUCGUCAGAUCAUCCUGAGAGAUUUAGUAAAUGAGACUGAAAGGGGAAAAACAAAUAGACAAAUGAAAUUAAAUAA